rnacentral:rRNA from 1 species
AGGACGAACGCUGGCGGCGUGCUUAACACAUGCAAGUCGAACGGUGAAGGAGAGCUUGCUCUCCGGAUCAGUGGCGAACGGGUGAGUAACACGUGAGUAACCUGCCCUUGACUCUGGGAUAAGCGUUGGAAACGACGUCUAAUACCGGAUACGAGCUUCAGCCGCAUGGCUAGGAGCUGGAAAGAAUUUCGGUACAAGGAUGGACUCGCGGUCCUAAUCAGCUAGGUUGGUGAGGUAAUGGCUCACCAAGGCGAUGACGGUA